UAAUUCACUAUGAUUAUGUGAAAUCACAAUUAUUUAGAUUUCGAUAAUGAUAAACAACACAAUCUUUUCACAUCUCUUUUCCUCUAAACGUUAAAUCUUUUGAUGUGUAAACAUUAACCUCGAAUUCCUCCCUAUGUAAAUUCUCCAACAAUCGCCAUGACUACGAAUUACCCUCGACGGUAUUAAUUCGCCAACGAUAAACCAUUCACGAAACUAUCGGAAUCUGUUUGCUGAUUCUCACGCGAUCAACGCAUUCUCGAAUGUAAUUUUCGGCCCGGCCAUCAACGGAUCCGUGGACCGCGGAUCUGCCCUCUGGUGGGAAGCGAAUGCUUAUUUACGCGACACGUAAAUGAAGCAAUCGUUUCGAGAGUUGCAGAGGGCGCGCGAGAGUGUAAUUGGCGGCACGGAUACGUAACGUUCGGGUAAUUUCAGGAGCUCGCUCGUAUAACAGUAUUAUACGAGGGAUUAAUUCGUACGGUACAACAUCGCCAUCGGUUUCGACCGCUUAGAGAGUUAGAAUUGAAUUUGACAUCCCGAUCUACCCUUUUCCACCGCUGUCCCCGCAAGAUGCCGUGCCCCGUGAUCCCUUUGUUACGUUGAGUGGCUUACACGGACAUUUCAAAGCCUGGCAUUACGUUUAUUGGAUAGGUCGAUGAUAUUGGGAUCAAAGCGGAGGGGAGAGGGGAGAGGCUUGUACGGGCGAACAAUGUUCCCGGGUUUGAAUCUCUUUGAGAGGGCGGCAGACGCGAAAUAACCGUUUGAUUAGAUGUUGUUUCCAAUAGUUUUCACGCGUAGUUUUCACGAGAGCAAUCGUUAGCAAUGUCGGGGUUUAAUUUUGAUUCGGUGAAAAUGGAUUCUUUAUACGAGUGUAAAAAAGAGUGUAGAAAAGAUCAAGGAAUAAUUUACACGUUUUCAUGUUCGAAUAAGGAUUAUAUCAUAUAUUUUGGAAUUUGGAAAGGUGAUCUAUUAUAAACAUUCGAUUAAAAAAAUGUUUUCACAUAAUUGCGAAAAGAAAAAGGAAUCGUAGAAUCGUAUUCAAUUCUCAACAGAAUUUUCAAGAGAAAUAAAUAUCACGGAAUUUCAGUAUAACCCGAAAGAAUACGGCACAAUCCCGAGGAUUCUAGAUUUAUUUCGACAUAAACGCCCGUACUCGAACUUGCCUGGAAGCUGAUUACGUUCACGAGGUGACGCACAGGAGAAUAGGCGUGCUCUUACAGGUAGACGGUGCUUGGUCGAAGGUGCGCCGUCAUAAAUCUGCCAAGAAACUCACCCCUUGGACGAUGGAGACGAGCUUCUGGCACUAUAUGCACAACGACGAUGAACGCUUGAAGCAUCAGUGGAUAACGCAUGAUUGCAGUCAGGCCGGGACACGCCAACGU